rnacentral:rRNA from 1 species
CUUCGGGAUUAGUGGCGGACGGGUGAGUAACACGUGGGAACGGUGCCCUUUGGUUCGGAACAACUCAGGGAAACUUGAGCUAAUACCGGAUGUGCCCUUCGGGGGAAAGAUUUAUCGCCAUUGGAGCGGCCCGCGUCUGAUUAGCUAGUUGGUGAGGUAAAGGCUCACCAAGGCGACGAUCAGUAGCUGGUCUGAGAGGAUGAUCAGCCACAUUGGGACUGAGACACGGCCCAAACUCCUACGGGAGGCAGCAGUGGGGAAUCUUGCGCAAUGGGCGAAAGCCUGACGCAGCCAUGCCGCGUGAAUGAUGAAGGUCUUAGGAUUGUAAAAUUCUUUCACCGGGGACGAUAAUGACGGUACCCGGAGAAGAAGCCCCGGCUAACUUCGUGCCAGCAGCCGCGGUAAUACGAAGGGGGCUAGCGUUGCUCGGAAUUACUGGGCGUAAAGGGAGCGUAGGCGGACUGUUUAGUCAGAGGUGAAAGCCCAGGGCUCAACCUUGGAAUUGCCUUUGAUACUGGCAGUCUUGAGUACGGAAGAGGUAUGUGGAACUCCGAGUGUAGAGGUGAAAUUCGUAGAUAUUCGGAAGAACACCAGUGGCGAAGGCGACAUACUGGUCCGUUACUGACGCUGAGGCUC